AAUCAGAGCGCUGCAUUUCAUCUACAGUAUUAUAACACGAGAUAAUGCUGACUUAAAACAACAGAGCAUCCUCCUUAUCUGCAUUGUGUUUGACCAUAACGGCUGGUGACUCUAAAGUGCAAGUUCACACAUCAAUUCAGAUAUUGCUCCUGCCAGUGUUGGUGACUCCUUGGAUAUUUGACAGUGUCCUGCUGUCCAGCAUCUCUCCCCCCUAUCCCUAUCUUUGUAUCCCUCUUCUAUCCCACUCUAUCUGUAUACGGAAGCCUGAAAACCCUGAUAUUCUGAAACCUGAACCCUGAACCCUGAAACCUGAACCUAAGGUUAUUGCAACCUGUCUGAACAGAACUCUGAGAGUAUCUCCACUCUUCCGCUCUCUGUCUCUCCUCUGAACACUCACUCACCCGGGUUAUUGGUACCUGAUCUACCUUUUUGAAUGAUCUGAGAGAUUCUCUUCUCUCACUCUCACCUCUCUCCUAUCAACUCCUAUAUUUAUACAAUACUAUUACUAUUACUGUUACUAAUUUGACAAAACAUUUGAAAUUUACUAUUAAUGAGAUUAACAAAAUUGGCCUGAACAAAGAAUUGAAAAGUUAAUUCAGAAGCU
ensembl:lncRNA